GUCUGUAGCUGAGCCUCCAGCUCAUAAACCAAAUCUUUCUUGAGCUGAAACACUUAUUAUACUUGUCUGCCUUGGAACAAAUGAGCUUCGAUGAACUUCCACAUACUUCAGCAAAUGGACUCCAUCAGUUCAAGAAGGCAGCUCACCACCACCUUCUAAAUGGCAAAGAGUAAUGGGAAAGAAAUACUGGCCGAGCCAGUGACCACCUAUAUGCCUUGAAUGAAAAAGGAAAACAAAAUCUGGCAAUGAUACCCAAGGCAUUGGAUAUUGGUGAGACCAUGCAGACAACGGAUAGAUGGACACCAUGCAACAGUCGCCAGACACGAAUGUUCCCACCCCGUAGGGGUUAAGGGGCCAAGGACAUUCAGCCUCAGAUCUUCAGGCCAGCAUCCUCCAAGGCAGACUCUGAGGUACAUGACAAUGAAGAAUCACUGAGCAGAAAUUGAUAGCCAAGUCCCGUACCCAUGAAGACGGCUGUGAUCUUGGAUUCGUGUCACGCUACGUGUGACCCCACCACACUGUUCUGUAUCUGUAAAAUCUUCUGUACUGUCCUGUUUUGACACCCUCACCUUAAUAAAUUGUAAUGAUCUCCCAACCUUAAUUUGUGUAGUUUUGGAUUACUUUUUACUUUGGUUAGAACCACAGCAUGGACUCAUACCUAUCAUGUUACUCCAGCCAUGCGAUCUUGCACCACCUUAUUUUUAAUUCUUCUGUAAUUAUCUUUGUGCCUCAUUUAUUCGGAUUGUAGGCCAUCCCUUCACUUGUUAUUCAGCUGCUGACACUUUACUCACACUAUCUAAUACUUGUGAUCAUCUGCAUGGGCUUAUUAUUCAACACACCCACCCAUGCCAUUCAUAUGAUCUUUUAA